AGGAUGCACUUCUUGGAGAUUUUAUUGCUUAUGUUCGGAUGUGGAUCUUUCUAAAGAAAAGAAAACCUAUAUUUGUCUUCUUCAAAAACACUGUACCUCCAAAGGGUGAGAUGCGCAUGCAACUCCUUUUUUAAAAUAGGCAUAUAUAUAAUAAUAGUAUCUUCGUUCCCAACUCUCCUUUGUCUUUCAAUGAAUGUUACAGGUGCCACUUUGGGUGCAAUUGAUGAGGAAAAUAAGGAUGAAGAUGGAUUUCUUCACAUGACCUACAGUGGGAAUGAUACCUUCAGCUACAGUGGGAAUGAUGUGACCUGUUGAUUAUUUAUAGUUUAUCCUCUUGAUCUUGAGAUCAAUCGGCUAGCUUAUUAUGGUGCUACAAGUAUUUAUUUUUUUGACAAAGGAUUUUCAUGCAUGGAGUAGAAAUAUUUUAAUGAUUUGCUAGUGAUGUUUAUGUUCAUCACAAUAAACUAAUGAGUUGGUGAGAUUGACGUGAAGAAGUUAGUUGCAAAUUCAAUUCCCUUGUACUUUAAGUACCAUGGAAUAGAAAUGUUUUAAUUCCAUACACCUCAGGCUCUCGUCCAUAAUGGUAAUGGACUAAAGUUUAUUUUGCCUACCAAGUAUUAUUUACUAUCAUCAUCAUAAACUAUCCUGACAACCUCCACUCUUUUACUCAGAGCAUCAUCACUAUAAUCCAUAUCAGUUUCAUCCCUAUGAUUUCCAUUUCCUCUCCAACAUGGAUAAUAAGACGAUUAAAUAAUACAGUAGGCUCAUCGUUGAGUUGCUUCCAAGUUAGUGUCGAAUCAUCCAACAAAAUAAUAGUGUGAUUAUCCUCGUCAAAAUCGUCUAAGUUUUCAAAAUGAUAAUCCUCAAACUUGUACCAAGUGCUUCAUGAAUAAUACUUAAAACCAUACUCCGCCAUAUAUAAACAACCAUAUUGGAUCAUAACAUAUUUAAUCAUCCGCUCUAACUUCUCCGCAUUCAUAUAGUUUUAAUGGUCCAAAAACCCAAUCUAUUACGAUGCCCAAUCAAUUGUCCUAAACACCUAUACAUAGUGAAGGUCAGUGGAGUUUUAUAACUAUGAUGCAAUAUUGAACUCGUUUAUUUUGAACUCCAUCUUUGUCACAUUCCGGGAUCGGCUCCGUCGUAACACGAUAUUAUUCGCUUUGGGUCCCCUUCUCUACCCUCAAGGUGUUUCUAGAAACUCACGAGCAACUUUCCAGUGGGUCACCCAUCCUAGGAUUGCUCUAGCCUAACUCGCUUAACUUCAGAGUUCCCAUAACUCCGAAGCCAGUGAGCUCCCAAAAGGUCUCGUGCUAGAUGAAAGUAAGCAUGUACAUAUAAAGCACAUCACCCCUCUCCGUUGGUCAAUGUGGGAUGUUACAAUCCACCCCUCUUAAAGACCCGACGUCAUUGUCGGUACACUCGCACCACACGGCAUAGUAGCUCUGAUACCAAAUUGUCACAUUCCGGAAUUGGCUCCGCCGUAGCACGAUAUUAUCCACAGACAUUCCAUCUCCAUUUAUAGUAUCAUCUCCUUCAUCUAAAUCUCUUUCAUCCUAUUCAUCCAAAUCAUCUUCAUCCUAUUUAUCUAAAUCAUCUUCCUCUUGAAUGUUAUGUAUGACGUGCACAAGUUUUAGGAGGUCAAGAACUUGCUGCCAAGACAAGUCGAAUAUGUAGAGUUCAUUCCCUCCUAAAUAAUACUUAAAACUAUAUUUCGUCAUAUCUAAACAUGUGGACCAUGGCGAGCGAACAAGAAGUUAUAAAUUGAAAAACCAUGUGGACCAUGGCGAGCAUCUAUGUCUAACGAAGUUGGGGGAAGGGAUUAUCCUGAUAUUAGUGAAUACAGGAACGUUCAUUCAACAUUAUCAGGAUUUUAGUGAAUACAUUAUCAAUUUGAAAAUUUCGACGACGUUGACGAGAAUACUCGUACCAUUAUUCUACUGGAUGAUUUUGCAUUAACUUGGGAGGAACUCAACGAUAAGCUAGAUGUGGUAGCCUGCAAAAUUGGACUUGUGUAACAUGUUGAGGAUUUAUGUCGAAAGAAUUUGGAGGAGGAUAAUUUUCGUACCAUCACUCUGCUGGAUGAUUCGACAUUAACUUGGGAGAAAUUCAACGAUGAGCUAGACAUGGUAGCCCACAAAAUUGUGAUCAUCUAUAUCGAACGGAGUUUGGACUUGUGGACCUCGUCAAGCAUCUAAAUUGAACGGAGUUGGAGGAGGGGAUUACAAUUAUGAUCAUGCAACAUUAUCAUUGAGUACAAGUUUGAGUCUUAUCAAUUUGAAAAUUUGGAUGACUUUGACAAGCAUACUCGUACCAUGUAGUUUCUUAAAACAAGUUGCAUAUUGUUGCUGUCUUUAACAUAGGUUAGGUACCUACCUUGAGGAUUAACAAUGGAAGAUUACUAUUUGCCGGAUAUGUAAUGAAAAGACGAUAAAUUUUGAAAAACCAAAUAAUAAUUGUUCAAAACCCCAACUCAAUUGCAUAUUUGCUCCACUGGCAAGCAAUUCAACAUGCAAUUCAUUAUUCAUUAAUCUUGACUCGAUGUUGUAUUAUUAGAUGUGCAGAAUAAAGACAAAAAUAAUCAUUUGUAACUAGGAAAGGAGACUGAAGGCAUACGACAAACAUAUACGGAAACAUAUUAUGAAUAUGAAGCCUAGUCCAUGGCAGAGAACUUACAAUAUAGCUCCCCCACCAUCAAAAGAAUGGGGUUGUUAGAAAAUCUAUCUUCAUCUUUCCAGCUGCCAUUGGGGGUUGAUUUCCUGAGCUAGAACGGAGAAUGGCCCCCCACGGCAAUCCCUUUUCCUUAACUGUGUAAUCGUUCUAUAUUUUUGGUAUUACGUACAUUCUCUAUAUCAACGUAGACAUAGCCUGGGCGGGAAUGGAAAAAUAAAAAACAUCUGCAUGUUUUUUCCAGAUUAUCCGCACAUCCUUCAUGAGAUUGGAAGAAUAUCAGCCAUUCAUUGAGAAAACCUCGCAUUCCAAAUAGCGUUCUUGUCCUCACCGCAACGUUCGUGAACAUCCAUUAUCCUCUCAACAGACCUGCAAAUCCCGCUGCAUCGCCAAUCAAAUGAAGCAGCGCAGAUGUUGCCUGUCAUAGCCUUCCACACACAAUCUGCAGAACAUAGUACAACAUCAACUCUAUAGCAUGCAUGUAAGCAGGAAUUUACCUAUUUGUCUACUUCUGGAAUUCAUGCUUUAAAUUCCUACUAAAGACAGAUGGCAGGCUAUGCCCCAUACUGCAGGUGCAACACCCAAGCUAAAGUUAUUAUAUCUCAAAUGACCAUAGGCAAAACAAAUCAUUCAAACGAAAACUACUACAGGAGAGUCAAAGAUUUUCAAAUUACCUGGUGGGGUACCACAACAGAGUCUCCUGUCAUCCACCUGUUCUACGUCUAAACCAAUAAACCAAGAUCCCAACGAAACAUCUUCAUUGGCAUAUUUGUGCAGCACAUCCCUUCCACAAUCAGGAAAUAAGAAUAGAUUAAGGCAUUUUCAAGAAGCACAAAGUCUAUAUUAUCUAAUUAAUAUUGCAACUCACUCAAUAAUCAACAGGAUUAAAGGCUUUGAGUUUCAUUUAGCCCAAAGAAUAAAGACAAAGCAGGAACUUACUGGUUUAUUGAUAUGUAAGUUGCCAAAUCUUUUGAGAUAGCAUAUAACUGUCCUGUAGCAUGUCGAAAAUACUUGUUUCCCACCUCACCAAAUUUCCAAUACUCUGGCUCAUGAUAUUUCACUCCCCUAUUCCACAAUAAAAAUACCAUGAAAACCAUGCUCACCAAUAUCUAAAUACAUCCAACUGAAAAAUAAUAGACCACUCUGCUUACUUUCGAGCAAGGACUGGACCUGACUUCAUGCAACCAAUAUAGACUCGGGGUUUCAAACGAUGUUUAGAUAGAAUCAUUCCAAGUGUUGCUGUGGUAAAUGAAACGCAAAUUAAACCAACAGGUUGAAAAAGGGGUAAAUUGAAACGUUGAGCUAUAAUGUUAGUAAUGCUGUCAAACAAAUAUAUGGUCUAAUGCAAGCCUGAGCAACUUUUGAGAAAUGAGCCGAUGUGGGCAAAAGCUUAAAUUUAUGUUACCUAAAUUUACAUGGACAUCAUCAUCAACUUUGACAUAAAAUUCAGCAUCCCACAAAGCAACAGCUGUUGAAAAAUAGGUCUUUGUCUUGGCUGAUAAUUCCAGGUAGCCCUCAACAUGGUUCUGCAUAUGUAGUAUGUAUAUGUAUUAGAAACUGCAACGGCCUGCUAGAUAUAAGAAUAAUUCCACUGUAGCAAAACCAAGAAAAAUAAUAUUUCUGACUAAAAUGAACAAAAAAAUCACCAGCCUCAACAAGUCUCCAUUGACUUGCUCCUCCGCUUCAAUAGCUUUAUCAAGAAUACCACCAGCUGUCGAACUAGUAACAACAGCAAAAUCAAUAUAUGUCCAUAUUUUAGAAAUUCAUCAAUUACGCCACUGAUGCAGGAUUGAAGUAGGCAUGGCAAAACCUCACCUGUGACCUAUAACAAACCGUAUGACUAUGCCCUUCUCUUCUUCCAGCUUCUUUCUUUCCUUGCCUAGUAAAUAUUUUUCAACUAGAAACCAUUAAUCAUAACUCGAAUAAGGAACUCAAGUAGCACAUUAACAUCACAAUUAAAUUAAACCUAAACGCAUAAUGCACCUUGUGGCAUCCAAGUUGCACGUACGGAAUCUCUUCUUUUUCGGCUAUUAAAAGCUGUAUUGAUCCCUAUAACCAUGAAGUACUUUUUUUUCGAAUUUGAUUGAAGAGUCUUCAAGUUUCCUGAUAUAGGAGAGCCAUUAUGUACAGAUUCAUGCAUUGCCCUGGAAGCGGCUAAUUUCAUCUCCAAAUUUGAAAUUGUUUUAUUUAGCUCCCUGCAUGCAUGGAUAGUAAUAAGCUUGCAUUUUGGUGCCUCAAAGACACUAGAGCAUUUCUUAUAAGUAGCAUCAGCAUAGCUUACUGAAUGACAUGAUUAGUAGCUUCCCCUGGACUAUCAUUAGACGUGUGCUUUAUAACCUUCAAAGAUAGGCAGAAAGUUGGAGAAAAUAUUUACCAAAAAUUAAAAAAAUCAGUGACAAAGGAUUAAUUAAAAGUUAAUGGAAUACUUAAAUGGCAAAGUGAAACUAAAAAUAUCAGUAUGAAAGAAAGGAGUAAAUAAAAUAAAUCUCUCCCAAAGUUCAGUGAAACUAUAGAAACCUCCCUUCUAUAUUGAGAAAUUAUAUCCCUCCUAAUAUAUUUCUCAAAAACAUGAUCCGUGAUGUAGUGAGACUAAAAAGAUUUCCUUUUGCAAGUACUCUAGACCAGAAUUCUUUAUCCGCAUGGUAUGAUUAAUGGCAUUGUUCUUUGAAGUUUUCGAUUCGUGACCAAAGAAUUUGUUCAGCUAUCAAAACCCGACCUUACUUUCGAAAGCUAUUCGUUAUGCAACUGAAGACUUGAAGACCGGAGAAUAAAUACACUUACAAGCUUCUGAUUACAACCAUCAGGUUCUGAAUAUAUCCUUUCAGCUCCAAUUCUAGAUGGCCUUGAUUCAGGCACCAUCGACAACCUGAUAAAAAAAAAUUCUUGACUAUUAUGACAAGCAUAUACUAAAUCACUAAUUUCAGUUGUGAUAUCACACAUAUAAUUGACUCAAGCAUAAGUAGCACUUAGACCAAACUCCAAACUAAACUAGAAAGAAAAAGAAAAGAACUCAAAUUUCUGAAAAUACAAUUAGUGAUCCCCAUUUCAAGGACAUAGAAUAAUCACCUAAGCAGCCAUCAUUAGCCACUGAAAUACAUAGAAUUUAAAACAGUUUCCUCAAGAUUCUUCCACAAAAGCGAAUUAAUUCCGGGACUUCAAACAUUUGGCCACAAUGCAUAAUGUACUUGAAACAAGCUCUACAGUUAAAUAGAAAUGGCAAAUUUAGAGCAAGGGAUAGAAACCCACCAAAGAAAAUUACCUGUUAGUAAAUAACACUCCAGCACAGAAGCUGCAGAAGCAUAGCAGAAAAGCCCAGUUCCUUGACAUCACAUUCCUCAUUGUUACCUCUCCUCCCCAUCCUUUGCUCUUCGAAGACAUUUCGUUCCAGCACUGCUUUUGCUACACACAAAGAAAUAUUUAUAAUAUAAAAAAUAAAAGAACAAGUAUUUGAAAUAGAAUCCAAUUGAAAAACCCAGAAAAGAAAGAAAAGAAAAAAGAGUUCUUUGGAGUCUGGAAGACAAAGGACACCUUCUUGAUGAGUCAGUGCUUGACACACACUCUCGCUCUCUCUUACAGAGACCAGAGAGGUGCACUGAGGAAGACCCACUAACUGCCCUCUCUUAUAUUCUAAAUUACUGAACCGUCCCUCCCUUUGGCAAAAACGCUUCUCACCAUAACAACAACAGUAACAGCUUCAUUUUCUCAUGCGGGCUGAAGUCUGUUGAAAUGGCACGUUGUCUCAACGCAUAAAAUUUAGAAUGAGGAAACCCGUUUAAUAUACAACUGUUGAUUAUUAUUGUCGGUGCCGUUUAUUCAGUUUUUCAAUAUUAAGGCUGUUUCGUUUUGAGUCAAGUAAGGAAACACAUGUAACUGAUAAUCGUUUUUUAGCUUUUCUUUUAGUAUGAUUUAUUUAUUUAUUUCUUUAAUUUGGAAUUUAAUUGAAUUUGCAAGAGAAAAGAGAUCCAAUGGCCCAUUGAUGCAUAUUGAAGACUUGGGGUCCAAUAUGCCCCCUUGAUCCUAAACACAGCCCAACAUGAAAAAAUAGCAAGCAAGAUGUUGUAAAAAUAAAAAAUAAAAAAAUAAAAAGUGAAAAUCCAAAAGUGGCCUUGUUGUUUUUGUAUUUUAUUAGGGUCAAAAAGACAUUAUUUAUUUACCCUUAUCACGAAUUAUGGGAGACAAAAUAAGAGGUGGCUGGUCGAUGUAUGCAACAUUUAAAUGAUGUUCAUAAAGAUGUGUUAGGUUAUAGGGGGGGUGUGUGUGACGUGUCGGUAAAAGGGGAAUAGCCAGUAAUUUAUUUUAUUUUCAGACACUUUAUUAUUAUUAUUAUUAUUUUUUGUCUGAAUUUUCCACAGAAACUAGAAUCUGUUCAAGAGGGUGGAGCAAGGCGAUUCUAUUCUUGAAUUUCGUACAUUAUUGGUGGCACCUUAUUCGAAUAAAAAAGAAUAUUGAUCAUACAAGAUUAAAGGUUAAACGAGAUAGUUUUACAUAGAUUAAGUUGAUGACCUGAGUUGUGUCAAUUAGGCAUGCUAGACAUUCUCUAGUUAACGGGUUUAACCGUUAUUUUGUUCUCACAUUUAUCAUGAACAAAGGCUUAAGGUAAACUUAUAAUAAAUUUCAAUUAAUCCUUAAUUAAAACAUGACUCAAACACCCUUUUUAAUUUCAUGUGGCUCUUUAAUUACUCAAGUCUUGGAGAGCAAAUUCUUCUAGACCACAACCACAUUGGCAAUGGCAAUGGCAAUGGCGUGUUAAACUUAAGCAAAUGGGUUCAGAACUUGUCUAUUUCAUGAUGUAAUAUGUUUAGCAUUCAUUUACUAGUUAAAUAAUUAAACAAAUGUUCUGCCAAAACUAAAGAAAAAUAAUAAUGCAUGAGGAAGAAGAGGACAAGAAGUGCAAAACUAGAAUGAAAAGCUCUUCGGCUAAUUCAAGUCACCGGAUAAGUUUUAUCCGUGUUCGUCAUGAUGCUACUUGGAUCUCUCUCUUUGUACUUUUUCAUUUGAUCUAAUAUUCUAUUAUGACUUGUUCUAAACAAGAACGAAAAGCUUUACUACAUUAAAAUAAUGCUAAAUUUUAACGAAGCAAGCAGCUGAAAGUAGAUAGGGUGCAUGAAGAUUUACCAACUCCUUUGCAAAUACCCAUCAUUCACCUAAAUUAAACACCAAAUGUUACUUGGCUUGGCUACCAUACAAAAUCUCAGAGGCUGCCAAUGGUUUUUCAACUUUUUCCAUCUUCUUUUUUUACUGGAAAAAAUCACACCAUUAAAAGGGCACCUCUGUUUUCUUUUAGCUAGGGACUUUCUAUGUGAAAGUUUCAGUGGACCCCCAGCCAGCACACUACAUACUAUAUUUGCUAAGAAGAAUUAAACAAAGCAAAAUGAAAAAAGAUUACAUGGGACCCUCAUGGCUAACAAUGAUUUUGAUGGUAAAUUGAAAUUGAAAUAGAAUAAUGGUGGACUGAUGAGAUGAAGGCAAUUAAUUACUCUAAGAAACCAGUUUUUGUCAAAAUAGCAUUUCUUACUUUGCUGAGGUCUCUUCCUUUGAGUGUUCUUCCAAUCCCUUCACACACAGAGAAAGAUGAAAUCUGGCUUCUUGCUAGCUUUCUAGCUACCCAUUCAUGUGGAGGGACCAUACCAUCAUCAUCAUCACCAUCACCAUCAUUAUUCACAUCAUCAUCAUCAUCACUGACACCAUGAUCAUGAUGAUGCCCCCCAUCCUCAUAAGCAACAUGACCACCAUUGACACCAUACCCAUCAUCAUCAUCAUGAACCCAAGAACCAAUCUUGGCACUCUUGCCAUAAAUUUUUGACCAAUCAGGGAUGUUCUGAGGAGCUGAUUUUUGGACCACCUUGGGUUCGUGGGAGGUUGGAGUAUUAGCAGCAGCAGCCCUUGGGAUAAUUCUUGGAGCAGUAGGGAGGCGCCAUGCAGAGGAAGAAGCAGAGGAGCUGUCCUUGUUAGACUUCCUCAUCAUCUUGGGACUUGAAUUUUCGCUCUCAUUAUUCCCAACACCCCACACAUCUUCUUCUUCAAAAUCUUCAUUGUUUCUCAUUGACCCCCCACCAAAGCCACUGCUUUUGCUCAUCAUACCCCUCCAAUCUGCCAUUGGGAGUUGCUCUGAAGCAUAAAAAAGUUGAAGUGCUUUGAGCAAAAAGCCAACCACACCACAGAGAAAAAGAGACUCAGAGCAAAAAUAGACCUCUGCUUUGAGUAUAAAUAAGAGGAGAAUAAUUUACAUUUGGUUGGUAAUGAGAUAAAAUUUUAUUUAUUUUUCUAGGGAAGCAAAAAGCAGAAAGGUGCAAUAGAGAAUAAUAUCAGGAAUCUACCUUCAAAAGGAAACAAGGGGUUUUGGAAGAUUUCUGAGGGUAUUGAAAUGUUCACAGCAUCAAAAACCAACCAGGAGAGAGGAGAAGCUUGUGACUGUGAGAGCACUUUCCCCUGGCCCUGGCCUGUUGAAUCCCUCCAAAAAAGAUCACAAAUUUCAAUGAGCCAGCAGCACACUGCAGGAUACAUACAGAUUACAGAGGAAGAAAAAGACAACAAAAACGAUAUAUGAAAGAAAUAAGUUUUUACUUUUAUGGGAUAGCUUAGCUGCUCUACUAUCAGGUACUGCUACAGAAAAGAAAAGGCAAAAGAAAAUGAUGAUGAGAAUCUCAGUUCCCUUCCCGGACUACUUUCUUACUUACCUGAAAAUGGUCAGUGUGUGUGAGGUUGUGUGAGGUUGGUUUAUCAGAAAACACCAAAAGGCACACAGAAAGGAGCAACCAGAACUAGAAAAAGAUAGAAAUUUUGGGUCAAAAUAGGAACAUAGAAGGUGUAUUGAGCAAACCCAGAAACCAGCUUGUCAUGAUCAGGGCAUUUUUACCAUCUAUGGGAAAAGAGUCAGUAGUGAGAGACUUCUUGAUAUGAGGUUAUAUAUAUAUAUAUGCAAAUAUAUAUUGUUGUUGUUGAUGUUGGUGUGUGCAUUUUUUAAUGCAUGAUGGGAAAAUUAUAGAUUAUAUAUAUAUAAUAAUAUAUUAUUUAGAGCUUCUGAAAAGCCUGGGUGUUGAUUGGGAAAGGUGGAGAAGAAGGAUUGGUCCGUCUGAAACCAAUAACCUCACUGAUUUCCGUAACCUUAUCCUCAACUUACUCACUAGAACAACUCAGCUCAUCAUCCGGCGUUACAACAGAGGAAAAGCUCGAAAGUGUGAAGCAACUUUUUUAAGGAUGCAUAGGAUGGGGUGCUUAACAAGUAAAAGCACUUAAAAGCACUUGGUUGACUGCGACUCUACUUUUCUAUAUCUCUCACUUCUUACUUCUUUCUUCAAUGCUUCCUGGGUUUUUGGGGAUUAUUGCAAAGAGAGAAAGAGAGAGUAAGAAAGUGAAUUUGGGAGCAAACAAAGGCACUGUGGUUGCCAAGGUGAAGCGUCUUCUCAAACUCAAAUCAGUAAGAUCUGUUGGACAAUGACCAAAGGGAAGUGUGUGGGUCAAUUGCCUCCUCUUUUGUCUCUCUCUCUCUCUCUCUCUCUCUCUCUCUCUCUCUCUCUCUCUCUCUCAUCAAUUCCAUCAUGGUUUCAUUUCAUGCUUAGAGUUGCAAUCACAUCCUUCAUAUGUGUACAUCUGACUUUGCAACUUUACCCCUCGUCACAGGCCUCAUCAUGUUUCAAUGCAGUCACUAGUAUACAGAGAGGUAUCUUUGGUUGCUGAUCAGGGGUCACCACAAACAACAAACAAACUUUGUGGCUCUUGAUGCUUCGCAAUUUUGCCAAGCUACCCAAAAAGUAAAACUUAAUGGGGGUAAAAAGCUAAAAAGUUGCUACUAACUUUCACAGGUCUUGUUAUUUCUCACCAAUUUCAAAAGUUAUUGCAUGCUCGUGUGAUUCAGCUACUUCUCAUAUACGACCAACAAAAAAAAAGAUGCUUCUCAUAUGAGCUAGGCUUCUUGGCCAUUGCAAAUCAUUACUCUGCUAGCAAGUUUACCAAAAAUGAAUCCUUUUUAUUUUUUUUCAUGGUAUAUAGUAUAUGACAGUUCAAUACAAGUUUUUUGAGCAGAGGAAAGGUAUGGAAAGUCGUCAUGUGUGAUCGUCAGUGGACGGUAGCCCACAAUAGGAUCCACACUCUUCGACGAUUGAUAGUCACCCGCGUAUGCCAUGUCUUGUAUGAGAUCAUAUCCCUAGCAAAACUUUUUUAUCCCAUUACUUCUUUUGUUACUUUCUUGCUCAAGUUUGUUGAGAAAGGCGUCAUUAACUUUGUCUCAACUGAAAAUGAUUCUUUCUUUUGAGCUGGAAAAUGAUUCCAUUAUAAAAUGUUGGAAAGUAUUUUAUAAACCUGUUCAAGAGCCUCCUUACACAAACAAGUAUAAUUAUAAUGAGACGCGGUGGUUGGUGGCUCUUAACGUUUCAUUAGUGUAAUCGAACUAAUGAGCUUUUCUUUCAUCCGAAGUCAAAGUUUUCUUGAUUCUUUCCUACAAUUGUAAAGCUAUAAUUCAUGUUCCUGAAUGAUAACACAAGCAAUUAACAUAUUGUAAGUAAGCUUUUGGUCCAUUGAAUGGCCUAGGAUAUAUAGAUAGAUUACGUACGUUGGAAUAAAGGUCACGUGCAAAUUACAAUGCAUGGCAGUAUAACUAGUGGCGCAAGAGCUGAGCUCAAGUCAGAUUUUGCUUUUGGUCACUAGGAGUACAAUUCCAAGAGUACAAUCAUAUACAUGGAAUCCUAGUAAGAGGCAUUUAGUGGAGAAAAAUCGACUUUUAUCGAAGCUUUUCAAUGAUUGAAGAAAGAAUGCAACUUCUACCAUCCAAAGAGGAUCUGCUUGAUUUGAAAGCACUUGUACGAUAAGCACGCUCAUACCUGUUUUAUUCCCCCUCUCUUUCCCUUUGAGGAGAUAAAGUUAGGGUCUUGGAGCCAAGUUGAAAUUAAAGCAACCACUGAAUAUAUUUAUAAAGUCAUUUAUAGUGAGGGCUUUAUCAAAGACCCUUUAGAUGAGGCCCUAUCUCUUAACCGUUGAAUUAAAUUAACUACGAACAAAUUUAAUCCUAUAAUCAAGAGAUUGGGUCUCAUCUAAGAGCUUUAGAUUAUACCCUCGCUAUAGAAUUCUACGUAUUUUAUAUACAGUCAAGUCAUAAGACCAUCAUUUUAACAAGGCUCUCGUUUGCUUCAAGGCUUGAACUGUGAAGAUCCACUCACUUGCAGGUUUUUCCCCGAAUUUCAAGUUUUGAAGAAAUUAAAAUAAUGAGAUGCGAAAGCUUUGGGAUACACUUGCACCUAGCGUCUUUCAGAUUAGUUAGAAAAUAUUUUUCAAAAGUACGCAAUAAAAUUACAUCGCAGUUCUCUUUUUGGUCUUCGAUAUAUAAGGACAUGAAGAAAUUCAAACUUAAAGAUCUUUGUAUUCUGAACUUUCUCUUUACUCUCACAAUCACCUUCUAUGGUACAUUGAACUAAUUAUAAUCAACAAAUUAUUGCUCAGUACAAAGGAUACGCUAAAACGCUACAAAGCUAACCUAUUAACAUAUGGAACAGAAAAAUGGAUGAACCAUUUUUAGCUCCACAACUGGUGUCAACUUUGCAUUAUUUCACUUGGGUGAACUAUAUGCAGCUAGUUAAGCUAUUGAAUGAGAAAAAUGAUGGAAAACUAUCACUGAACCUGUACAAAACCAUCUCUGAGUAUCUGAUAUCUUAUAUUCACUUCCGUGCUGCGUGAUAAAGCUCCAUGUAGUCGAGAGCUGGCUUGUUCCAAGACCAAUCUUGCUCCAUCACUGUCUUGCACAACGAGUUGAACCAAUCCCGACCAUCAUACCAAGCAGAGAUAGCCCUGAAAACAUCGUUUAUGAGUACUACACAAAGAAACAAACUGAACAAAUUUAUUGUCCAUAAAGGAACAGGGACAUUCUUGAAACUUUUGUUAAAAGAAAACACUACGUUUUCCCAGUCAUCAGCUAAAUAUAAAUUUACACACCUAUUCAGAGCAUAAUCGACACCAGCGGCGUCAGGUCCAUCAAAGCUGAAUCCAUUUGGUUCAACACCCUGGGCAUCUGCUCUCUCUUUGUCAUGGUCAACAUCAAAUACAGUAUCGUAAAGUCCUACCAAGAAAUAACAUUAAAAUGGAAAGUCAAAUUUAAUAUCGAAGUAUGUUAAGAUAUUUUUUAUAUCACCGUGGUGUCUAGUGGCGAGCUAGAAGCUUUCCUUUGGAGAGCCAAUAACGUAGUGACAAGGUUACUUCGGAGCAUAUAUCAAUUGCAAAAUACAGUACAUACACUAUUAAAGCACACUCCUCAUCAAAGACUGGUAAGGUACGUACACACCUCCAGUUUUACGAACAACAGGUAUAGAACCGUAUCUCAUUGCUAUGAGUUGUGUCAGUCCGCAUGGCUCAAAAAUUGAAGGAACUAAGAUGAAAUCAGCACCAGCGUAUAUCUAUAACAAAAUUCAAUUAGUCUGUUAUUAUGGCAGUGAAGAUGUAAGAGGUCAAUGACUCAGUAUAAAUAGAAAAAAAUAAGUAAAACAGAAUAUAACUUUCACAAGAACAAACCAAAUGUGAGAGUGGCUCAUCAUAAGUCAAACAAAGGCGUGCACGGUCACCAUAAGAAGAAUGUAAUUGAUUUGCCAAAUUUACAAAAUCAUUUUGGAUCCGAGGAUCUGGAGCUGAACCAAGCAAUACAACCUGCAAAUCAGUAAGUUCCGUUUUAAUUUAGAAUUUGCUUUCCUACACUAGGAAAUGAGAAGGGAGGAUUGUCUUACUAGGAGAACAUCCAGUGGAAUUAAAGAACAAUGUUUGUGCAAUAUGAGGAUUCAAAGUAUAAUAAUUCACUCACAAAAAGAGAGGACACCCAUGAAGAACAGUGUUUGUGUUAAUAUUCACUCACAAAAAGUGGGAGAGAGAUGAAAGUAACCUGUCCAUUGCGUUCCAAGGUACGCCAAAUGGCAUGCUUGAUGAGAUGGAUUCCUUUUUGGUGAGUUAAGCGAGUAAUAAUACCUACUACAGGGAGAUCGGCUGUUUUCAGACCAAGCCUUUGUUGCAAGGCUUCCUUGGCAGCUUGUUUGCCUUCAACAACAUUUUCAGAAGUAUACGAUAUCUGGAAUGAUAUGCAUUCUACACGUUAGACACAAUUGUAUUCAGAGUAGUAGGGAUCAAAAGUUACAAACAUAGUUGUGGCUAACUUAAAAUCAAGCACAGAGAUUAGCAUAGUUCCAUCUUGAGCCUCCAAAGAGACAUUCAAGGGUACCCAACUAGUUAAUUUAUGAUUCCACAAUGCUUAGCAACAUAACCCAAGUUGGUGAUACAAACUAUUAUUCUUUUGUUUACCCGUAUCAUGACCCUGGUAUAACCAGCAUCCUAAUAUAUAGCCCAAGUACCAAACACAGAGAAUUCGGCAAACAGCUUAAUACUUAUUCCAAGAAAUAUAUAUAAAAAAUCCUUAAUAAAAGUUUACAAUGGUUAAAUGCGAAUAGAACAAAGAAAGUAUUAUUUACUUACAGGAAUGAAUUUAUCAUUGUAUGGAUCCCAGAUAUCUUGAUCAAUUCCAUUUAUUAUACCAUGGAACUUGUAGAGAUGUGGAGCAAUUGCAGGAUUUCCAGCAACCUCCUUAGCAUAACUGUCGGAUACCUGUUGAUUAAAGAUGAAGGACUCAAUUGAUAUUACAGUAAUUUUCAGGAAAUGAAACAGCAACCAUCAUGCGUAAAGGAUUGGAUUGUUGAUAUCACACUUCAAUCAAUUUAACAAUUGACAGAACAGAAGAGCAUAGAAAGGUGAUUCCAGGGCCUACUAAAAGGGAAAAUGUUCGAAUUCCAAUAAUUGGCAUUGAUAGGUCUGCUCCUAUUAUUCACAAAGGCAAAGUAUCCUAAAAUAAAAUAAAUAUGGAUAAAAUGAGAGUUUUAGGAAAUUUUUAAGGACUUACAGUUGUGGCCUUGUCUGAGUAUCCCACAGCUUUUCCAAUAAAGUGCGCUCCAAACUCAAGGUUAUGAAUUGUGAAGACAACCCGAGCUUUACUAAGACCAUAAUGCAUGUAAUGAUCUUUAUAUAACCAGGCAACAGGUGCGCUAGACCAAUCAUGGCAGUGAAUGAUAUCCUGCCAUCAGAAGCAACAGUUUCAAAUAGCUACCCUCAGUAGCUAUCCUCAGAUUCACACACACACACACACACACACAAACCAGUACAAUGCCAAAAGAGCCAUAUAUUAGCCAAAAUAUGAUUUGACUGUUCCAUAUACAUAACUUCCUCUUGUGUAAUUGACCUUAAUCUACUUUUUUUUUCAUAGGCAGUUUUCUUUUAUCACCAUUUGCACAUGUCUAGAUAUAUUAUAAAAGUAGGCAGAAGAACCAACUUCCACUACUAGUAGGAUUAAUUGAAUUUCUCAUAGUAUAUAUAAACUGCAUGAGUCAAGCACUGAACUUACAGGAUGAAAUCCACUUUGGAGUAAAAAUUCUAGAGCAGCAUGGCAAAAGAAACCAAAUCUCUCUGCAUCAUUCUUACAACCAUAUAUGCAACCUGUAUAAAAGAAUCUGCAAAGAGGAAAGGAAAAAGAAAUUCUUGUAAAGAACAGGUUGCUGGAUCCAGCACCACGGCGGUAUUAUUUGCAAGAUAAUCAACUGUGAACAUCCCGGAAAUGAAAUUGAAAUACAUAUUGACCAUUAAAACAGAAAAUAAAAGGCAGUGAACUUGAUAGAAGUAAAGGUGAAAACACAUAUGACGGUUUGUGACUUUGAAGGAUGCGGAAGAGGACGUGUACCUAUUUUGAGGCUCCAAAAAGUAGACUGGAACACCUUCCACUUUACCAAACCAAACUUUUAUUUCAGUUCCGCCCCAAGAAUAGCUUCUGUUGUACUGGAAUCCCUUCACCUGUAUCAGAGAUUCAGAACACAGCCAUUUAGUAACUUAGAAACAAAAUUCAUCCCCAAACUAAGGUUGAAGAAGAACAAGUGAAAAAACAGCACAAUCUAAGAACUCAGCAAUAAGUGUCAAAAGAUAUACUUACAAAUGGGGUUCAACAAUGCUCUGAGAGUGCCAUAAAGCCAAAAAGAAAAAAAAAAGUUGCAAAAUCUAUGUAAAAUAAAAUAAAAUAAAAAAAACCAAGAACAUGAAAUCAUUUUUCAAAACAUUUUUCACAAGAAUCCAAGAGGCACCCCAUAUUUCAAAAAUUCCAUGAAAUGGACCUCCAAGAAGGGCAGGCCUGGCCAAUGCCCACAAAAGGCCCUAUAGUGAGCAUUCUAAAAAUGCAAAAGAAAAGAAAGAAUGCAAGCGCUCCAUGACAGGAAGAAAGAAAAAGGUAAAAAAGCAGAUGAGGUAAGAAAAAAAACAGAAACGAAACUUACAUUGCUAAGGUUCAAACAGUCGUACUUAGGAAGAAUAAUGUCAACAUGGUGAUUUAAGUCUUGCACAGCUCGGGAUAGACUAGUAACCACGUCACCAAGCCCUCCAACCUAGAAUAGAUGUUGUAAAUAAUGGAGGGGAUAAAAAAGAAAUAAACAACAUCAGUAGGGUCCUUAUAUGCAAGAAAGUACAUACUAGAUACUGAUAAUGCAUCAGUUCACAUGGAUAUUACAAUUCAUGGUGGCCAUGAACAAAAAAUUUCAUCCAUUGAGAUUAAAAGGAUUAGAAGGGAACUAAAACAAUUAAAAAAUAAUAGAUAUUAGGAAACUAAUUCUGCACAGAGUGGACAGUCAAGUAUCAUAGUAGUAACACAGUAAGCUGUUGUGCUGCCAGAAAGUGAAGAGUAAGAUAACUCAAAAUGACAGCCUAAUUUGAAAGUAUUAAGAAAAUUGAAACUAAUGUGAAACAUCUAUUGACAGUUAAAUACACUGAAGGUAUAGAAGUGUUUCAUCCAACAUUGCAUUAAGUUAGUUGCUAAACUUGCCUUUGCAAUGGGAGCCAUUUCAACAGAAAUAUGCACAAUGUGCAUUGGUGACUCCUUCAAAACUCCUCCAAACACCGGAAUGUGGUAAUCCAUACCAUUUUUGUUGUCAAAGAGUCCAUCAUCAUCUUUCUUCUCAGAGAAAACAAAGUCCAUCACGUAUGCAUCGAGCGGAACUUUAACUGUAGAGACAUCAACAAAUAGUUUAACUGAUAAAGUAAAGUUAACUUCGUAGCCUCACAUUGAGAUGCUUAGACAUUAAAAUGGUUGCAAAAGGGUCAAAAUAAGCAUAAACCAAUAUGCCAAAUGAGCUAGCUUCUUUUCAUUCUUUAUAUGUUGACAUUCCUUGUGGUUAUGUCACUUGCCUGUGCAUAGGAUCCAUUUUAUAGUAAGACAUUCAUUUAAAUAAGACACUUCUUAAAAACUCCUUAAUCUUAAGGAAACGUUAGCAUAAAGCAGGGGAAAAAAAUUACCCAAAAAAAGAUUUCGGUGGAUGUAUUAUUAUAAAUCAAACAGAACUGAAGUGAAUUAUAACUUGAAUGGUUUAUGGGCAUAUAUGUAUAUAUCGACCGGGGAAGGGGACGUAAAAGGAAACAAGAGAUUAUUUAACCACUUGCACUGAAAAGAUAGACUAUAUAAACAUCAAAUUGUUCUUAUGAGAAGUAUCUAUAAACUCAAACUCACCAGUUGUCUUGACAUGAGAACCAGUCUCUGCAGGUAACAUCUUCUGUGGUGGCAAUGGACCCUUGCGAUGGGUCCAACGGUUAAAAGAGCCUCUGAACCAAACCUCAGGCUUUCCAUUCAGAACUGUACUGGCAGGAUUGUAGAAGACCGUUGCCAUGCUUCCAGCUUGAACAUCAAGAGGCUCAGUGUACACUAUAUGCUUCUGAGACAGCAAAAACCUUUUCAAAGUUCUUUCCUUCAUUUCUGCUUUCAUACGUGCUGUUCUUUCGGCCUGCGACAAGAGAAGAGAAAUGGAAUCGGGAAGUAAUAUGCCAUAAGAUAUAUUUGAGAAGUUGAAUCCCAAAGUUGGCAAGAUAAAGAUAAUAAAAUCUGAACAAAUAAACAUAGAGAGAGAGAGAGAGAGAGAGAGACAGAGACAGAGACAGAGAGAGAGAGAGAGGAAAUCUCAAGUACCGAUUGGCAACAUUUUAAGGAUAGUCCAGAAAAUCCACACUUUGCAUAAAAGAACAAACACUAGAGGGACCCACCAGUCAAAACCUAAGAAGGUGGUCUGAGUCUCACAUCAUGCAGGGCUCAAUCUGAUUGUUCUAGAUGUAAUUUUCAGUAAAACUCACCUUGGCACGUAUUGCCUCCUCCCUUAAUCUCCUCUCCUCCUGGAGCUUCCUAUAUAUCUUGUGUUCUUCCUCAACCCAAUAUAGUUCCUCAGGAAUGGACUUUGGAACUAUAGAAUGGAAAUCAUGGCGGUGGUUGUUAUCAUAUAGAACAGCAUUUUGAGGUGGUCCAUCGGCAAAAACCCAAUCCAAGACAACAGCUUGAUCAGGUACAACAACUACAAGAAAUAAAGUUGACCACAAGGAUGUUGUUUAUAACAUGCUAUACCAGCACCAAACAGAAAAUUACAGAUUAAAGGAAAUAGAACUACGGAAAAGAGAAAGCCAUCUCCAACAAUUUACAACCUUUUAUAUACGUUAAAGGAAGAAAAGGACAAGAAUAUAAAAGAACACAUACCAUUGGCAUACCACCAGUCACCAUCCUUUUCCUCAGAGCUAACUAGCCUCUCAACAAUAGAUAAUCCAUCCUUCCAAUUAUUAUGCCCCCCAUGAAUCCAUAUUUCCUUAGCAUGAGCAAGAGGACCUGAGCUUCGGUUAUAGUAUAACUUCACCAAGUCCUCACCUUUAAACUCACUAGGCUCUAUGUACCAAACAUUCUCUACAGACCUUACACCCUUCUUGAUCAACUCUUGCACCAUUUUUCGUCUCCUUUCGAUCUCUGCUCUUGCCUCUGCUCUGUCAGCUUCACUUGCUGCCUUCUCUGCUUCAAUUUGCCUCUGCUCUUCCGCUUGCCUUUCCCUCUCAGCUUGCUCCUUUGCAAGUUUCUCCAGUUCUUUGCGCUUCUCAUCAAGCAAGAAAUCUUCAAAUGCAAAGAGGUCCAUUCCACCUUCCACGGCUAUGCAGAAAUCUUUCUCAUCAUUAUUGUCAUAAAUAUUUUGACCAUUGAAGAACACAAAGUCUAUCUUAUAUGAUUCUUUAGGAACAUGAAACUGGCAAGACCACCAAUCCCCUUUGAGUUGUGUUUUGUUCAACCUGAAGGUAAAAGAUUUCCACCGCCAGUCAUUAAAGGCUCCCAUUAUGAGAAUCUCUGGCUCAUUGCUUAGGGUGGAUAGACUUCUAUUAAGAAAAAUAUCUAUAUCUUGAUCAGGUUUCACCACCUGAGGAUAGACAAAGAUUUUGUUCCCUCUUAAGAAGUUCUCCUCAGCAAGCCUCACAAUCUCCUCUUUACGCAAUUUUUCUUCCAUUUCCAACUUUGAUUUUAAAGAAGCUUCAUCGGUUAACUUUUUAUCAGUAUCAGUGCCUUUGUCAUCCACAGAGUCAUCCAUCUUUCUUCUAGCCAAACUCUGUUUGUCAGAAAGUAUUGCUUCUGCCACAUUCUCAUCACCACCCUCGGAAGCUGUUCCUUUUGGCUGUAUCUCUGCCAAGUCCUCAAGGACCUUAUCUACACUCCCAUUUUCUAUCCCUUGAAUACCUCUAGCAAUAUCUGACGGUUUGCUAAUUGAAGAUGAUCCCUCAACUUUAAUACUAGUUUCACCAAUUCUUUUUUCCUCAACAUCAUCCUCUUGUGAAGGUUCAACUGCCCAUUCUCCUUUGGUAUCAACUCUCAAUUCAAUUGUUUUCUUGUUGGGCCCAGCAAGUUCACUGGAUUUUGAAGAUAUAGAACCCUUUUUAUCCCCAUUACUCUUUUGAUUCGUCUUCUGGACGCUAGUUCCUACUGGAAUUUUUGGCACUAAUCCCUUGGGACCAGGGCUGUUAGUAGGAGUGGUCACUUUUCUCUGUCUCCUCCUUGAAGAAUCUACCAAGUUACAGAGUCGGAUUAAGCUAAAAACAACAAAGACAAAUUAAGGAAGGUCAAGUAAUCCACUUCAAAACUAAAAUAAAACGAUGAGAUAACUCACCAGCUGAACUGGCAGUAAUUUGGUAUGAAACCCCACUUGCCAGGUCUCCUUUGAACCAUGAAGAAUACUGAAAUCAAACGUAUAAAUAAGAGAGGUUCAGUUUAAGAUGCAGCAGUCACUAAAAUGGCCAUAGUUAAGUGAUUUUAUUCAGAAAAACUGAUUGGAAAAGUAAAAGCCAUCAUUACUCAAAAAAGAAAAUUAUUACAAUUCAAUCCUAUCCUGCAGUAAAAUCAACUGAACAGUGAGUACCCGCCAAGAAAAAAGGACAUGAAUUUCAUCAAUAAAGCUUACACUUUUCCAGAAAAUCUCCUAUCAAUAACGCCACCACAAAAAGACCCAGGAAAAGUAUCGAUGAACAAAUAUUUAAAUAGUUGUCGCUAGAAAGGAAAAUACCAAAUUACAAAACUAGACCGCAAAGAUCAAAGAAACCCACAAUCGUGCUCUCUACAGAAACACAUACUCUUACAUGGGUGUGAUCAAUACCAAAAAACUCAAGGAAACGGAGAAAUUUCAGAACAAGAAGAAGAAAAUGCACACCAGAAACUAUACAUAUAUGCCAAUGAUAAACGAAGCUGAUUACUCGUAAGAAAUUACUUAACUCUUCCAUGAGGAGAAAACCCAGUAAAUGGUUUGAGCUUCAAAUUGGUUCCUCUCUCUUGGAAGACCGUUCGCCAGCCGAGUGGCCUCUGUGCUUGCAGAGACAUUAUAAGAAUGUUUGUUCUGCUGCUUUGACACAAAAUAUAAUCCGCAGUGAUCAGCAAGCCAUUUCUCGAAGGCUCCAACACUGAACUUAUCAAACAAUUAAAUAAUAAUAAAUAUCAAAUAUCUUGAUUUAUAUAUAAUAAAAAACCAAAACGAAGGAAGAAAAUUAAUAAUAAUAAAAAGUGUUGAAAUGCUGUGGUUUCGGCUAGCAGAGAAGAAGCCUGCACUCUCAGCCACGUGUGUGUAAUUUUUCAUAAUGCACAUUAUUAAUUUGUAUUUUAAAUCGGGACCGUUGAUUUGCAUUGGUCUUUGCGUUCAUUGGUGGGUUUGUGUGUGACGUGGCAGAAUUUUUGAAUUUUCCAAGAUUUUCGAAAGGGAUUUUUGUUUUUUUCUAGAAAAGAGAUUUUUAAUGGGUAGGCUUUUGGGAGGCUAUUAGCAUGUGAUACAGGCUACCCCAUCAGAAUUGAUGGAAUCAAUCAGGAAUUGCCACGUUAAACGCCAACAGGCACGUGACAACAAACUUUCCUAGGUUUUUUUGGUUAUUCCUAGGAAGGAGGAGAAAGCAUUAUAAAAUAAUUUAAUUACUAUAUAUAUAUAUAUAUAUAUAUAUUUUUUUUUUUUUGGGUUUGAAACUAUAUAUUAUUAAUCAACCUUAGUUGUCCUUCUGAUCACUUCUAAGGUUAUGUAAAGAAUACUGUUUAAUAAUUACAUGCACAAAUAAAGUGCCUAGAGAGGGAGUGCAGCUCUCGUAGUUGUUGUGGGUUGUGAUUAUUUUUCUCCAAGAUUAAUCUUCACCAUGUUCUGCCAUGGCCAGCAUUGAUGUUGGCAGGCCAAAGGCAAAGGGUGUAAACCAGGAAUAUUCUCUAGGAUGGGCUAAACUUUUUCCUUCUGUCUUUGUAGUAGAGUGCUAAAACUAAAAUACCUUGAAUUAGUCGGUAUUCUUUAAUUUGUUAACUGUGUGAUACAACUAAAGGUUAGCAUAUCUUAGAUUCAAAGAAUGUCACCUCUUGAAUCAUCUACCAGAAAAAGUUCUAAAUCAAAAAACUAUAAUAAUAUGCAAACCGUAACCAUAAAGGAAAAAACAUCACAUCGAAAUGAAUUGGCAACAGCAGCAUGCAUAACUCAAACAACAAAUUAAGAAGAACUCACAAGAUAAUUAUUUGAUGCAAGCAUUCAUCAACAAAUGUUCAAUAAGAGGAUAUGAAGAAUAGGGAAAAACAAGAAACUAGAGAUGAGGGAUAAUAUAAGUCUUACCUUAAUCAGAGAGACUGAAUAAAUUGAAACCAGAGAUGGAACUGGUUUUCAAGACAAAGGCAGCCAACGAAAGAUAGAGGGAACAAUGAAUGGCCGAAUGGGAAUUGACACCGAACAAUGUGGGAGGGAGAAAUGGGGUUUUGUUUGGUUGAGAUUCGAAGAUUAAAACGUGGCUUUUCUCAUUGGGCUUUUUCAAAAGCUAAAAUUAAUCAAUGGUCUAAAUCUAAAGUGGGUUGGGUUGAAAGGGUUGGCUUUUUUGUUUGUGGGUUGAAGUGUUUAAAAAGAUUGGCUAAGCUGUAGCCCGACCCAAUUAACCAAUAAAUUAAAAAUAAUUUUGUAUAUUUUUUUAUCUGAAUUUUAAUGAUUCUAUCAAAGAAAGAAAUCUAUACGUCUUUCUAAGAAAUUUCCCCUUAAAUUUUUUAGUUCUCGAAGCAAGCUUUCUGUGAUAUCAGGUAAGUCUGAUCCAGUGGGGUUAGUGGGGUCGCCCAACCUCUUGGAAGCCAUGGAAAUCAGCUUAGAUGCCCCUUGGAGCUGCUGGUGCGACCUCUUGAAGCUGCACACCAAGUGGUCGACGAAAUGACUGAAAUAAGGAAGGUUUGCAGCUGAAGAAGAAGAAGGGAGGGUUUGUUGUGCCCGGGGCUGUUGACGUUGUUUUAGGCCAGGUCUGAAACAUUUUAAAAAUUAAAAAUAAAAAAAAAUCGCUCAACGUAUGUCCUUCUUCACAGCAGCGAUUCCUCCAAUCUCAACCCCAAAAUUCUUUUGUUUUCUCUUCCAAACCCUCAACUCCAUCUCCUCCCUUCCUGCCGCCACUAAAUUUUUAUUUAAACUUUUAUAAUAAAACUCAUUUUGAUAAUAUUCAUAACUCCACCACUGGUCUGAUCAAAAAAAAUAAGUAAACAAAUAUUUUUGUAGAAGAAAAUUUGUCGAGACAAGCCUUAUCCCAUAAUUUAUCCCCAAAAAAAAAAAAGAAAAAAAAGAAUACUUCAUGGAAAACCAUUACAUGGCGUUGUUUAACAGAAAAACAAACUUUAACCAAAAUAAAAUUACCAAAUAAGGCAGGAAGUGGGUGUAGAGGUUCUCAGGCUCACAUUAGUUAGCAAUUGGCCUCAUUCUUGGAGAUCACGCAAUUGUAUCCAAUGAAGCAAUUGAAAAAGACAAAUUAUGUUUUCUCUUAUUAUGUUGAAGUUAAAUAUAUUCUCUUAUUAUGUUUUCUUAUUGGGUUUAAAAUCUUACCAAAUUAGUUGGGGCGCAAAAUCAUAGCCAAAGCCAUAGUGCGGGCUCACAUCUUUCAUGUUCAACCAACUUGGAGUAUUUUCAGAAUUCUCAGGCCCAAGAAGGCUUUUUAUUAUAUAUAUAAUAUACUUUUAUAACAAUGAGUCCAAGACCAGGUUUUGAUAGCUGAACAGACUCUAGUGUCUCGAAUCAAACUAACUUAACAUCGAGUAGCCUACAAAAUUUCUUAAUAGUUAGUCAUACGAUGCGUUGCGUGCGGGUCUAUAUUGAUUUAGCGUGCUUAGUUGGAUUUAUCCUGCUGUUAACCUCGACCACACAUAUGGACGGGCAUUAGGAGUGGAAAAUCGGAACACCGAACCAAAUCGAAUGAAAAAAAGGAAAAAAACUGAUUGACCAAAAAAUUUAACAAACUGAGACAAAACCGAAUCAGAUCAAACUGAUUUUAAUUUCGAUUUCAUACCGCACCAAACCAAACCGGUUGUGUAUAAAUUUUUUUUUUAUACAAAAUUAUCUAAAUCCAAUGCUCCAUUUUUAAUUUUAGGACUAAUAUUUUUCCAAGUCCAACUUCAAAGCAUCUCUCUUUGUAUGAAUUGGAUCAUUUGUUAAUUUUCAAGCUAAAAAAUAAUUUUUUUUUGUUAGCAUUUGUAUUUAAAAAUAAUAAAAAUAAUAAGGUUCAAAACCAGAAUCGAUGAGAACCAAACAAGCCAAUUUUUAAAAAAAUUUCAUUAAUAUCGAAUAGAACAGAACCAGUUAAAUAGUACCAAUUUUAAUUUGAGAUGAGAAUCGGACCGUGCCCGCCCUUACCCACACAUGCUGGCAAUGGCAUGCAUGAUAGUUUUCAUUUCAAAACCCUUAGAGGUCAUUUGUGGUCCGAAAAUGAAAAUCAUAGUUGAAAAAGUAUUUCAAAGAACCAAGAUUUUUCAUCCCAAAUUCCUUGGACAAAUAGUCAUGUAAGCUUUUCAUUCUUUUGGAUAAUUUCCUAUCACAAAUGGUCUUGUAAUGCUUUUCGUUCUUCUGAAACAUUUAAAAUAAGAGAAAUGUCCUUUUUUAAUAAGGGAAUUUUCCUUAAUAAAUGUAAAUAUUAAGAAUUAAAAUAAUUAAUCAACUAUAAAUAAUAAGGUAAAUUUAUACUUUUUAUUUAAAAAAUAAAAACAAAAUCAUAUAAUGGUCAUAUUUUUACCAAGGGACUAGUUAUAUAUAAUCAUCCAAAACAAAACAAAAUUAAAAUUAAAAAUAGGGGUCCAAGAAAUAGGGAGAUUAACUAUUAUACCCCAAUAUACGGCCUAAAUUAUAAAAAUACCCUAUAUGAAAUGGACUUUAGAAACACACCCAAAACCCAUUUACAACAUAACAAAGAGGUUUUUAACUUCUUAUAAAUUACAAACUGCCAUCAAUUUCUUAAAACAAGUCAAACCCCAAAAUCUCAUAAAAAUACCCAAAACACUCAAUAUGGCAUCAAAGUAAUUUAAUAAUCAAUAUUAAAUUCAAUAAGGCAAGUUGUCAUUUUUUGGGUUUUUUUCCGGUUUGUUUAUAGAAAUUCAAUGGUGUAUAAUUUAUCUAUAAUAUUAGUGCAUGAAUGAAUAUACCACUAAAUAUCUCCAAGAAAUAAUGUGAUAUGGGCCCGGGGUCGUAGUCCAGGUCAUGGAACGGAGCCCAGAGAAAGUAAGUAUAAAACACGCCGAAGAAAACCUAGACGACACAGAAAACCUUUCGCGUUGGAAGCUUGCAAAUUGCAAUCGGAAAGAACCUCAACAGGUCUGUUCCCCAAUGUGAAACCCUUAAAUUUAUGUAUCGUAUGUAUAUUUUAUGAUUCUUUGCCUUCAAUAAUUUUCUCCCCUUCAGUUGAUUUUUACCCUCUGUUCUUUAAUAUUCUGAACCAAUCAAUUCAUCAAUUCCCCAAACCCUAAUCGAUCCUUUGCAUGUUAACUUUUCGUAAAAACCAUCCAAGUCACAAUGCAUGUCUUGAUCUACUGGUGUUCAAUGUUGUUUUGUUGUUCCUAAUUUGCAGAGAUCAGUCGUAGUGGAGUUUCGCCAUGGCCGAAAGCUCUUGCAAGCUUGAAAAUCAUCUGGGUUCGUUUUCUUGUCUUUUUGUUUUUUGGGUUAAUGAUAUAGGUUUUGCAAUACCCGUAUGCCGAUAUCAUGUUUGGCCUUUUCAUCUGUUUUCUUCUUUUGGUUUUUGAUAUUUUAGAAACGAUGCGAGCAGAAGAGAACAUUUCAGAUCCAGCCCCAGUAAGAAUUUUACUGAAUCAUAUUUGUUUACUUCCUUCCUAGGCAGGCAUUCAGAGGAAUUUUAUGUUCUAAUUUGAGUAUUUAUGCAGAUGGUUGUGAAGAAUGCUGCCGCUGCGGCUUCCCUAAGUGUCAUUCCUGACAUUAAUAAGAUGAAGAAGAAGAAGAAGAGGUUUGCUACCAAUUCCUUUAAUUCUUUUGAUUCGUAUUGCCACAAUAGUGGAACAAGAAUAAUGUUUGCCUUUUCAUUUAUUUAUUUUUUAUGUUCAGGAAACCGACAGUAGUAAUAUCUCCGGUUAGAGCUUUAAUUUUAGACACUUGGAAUAUGAGGCACGUGUGGAAGGAUGCGGUGAGAAUUUCAUUGACUUAAUUUGUUUUACUGCCUAUGGCUAUGUCAUUCAGUGGAAAUAUAUACUCUGUUCUAACUUGAGCCUCAUGCAUCUGAUUGUGCAGAAUGGUAUAAGUGGUACUGAAAAACAUAUAGACCCUUGGCUUUUGAGGGAGACGGACCCAGAUUUGGUACCAGUAAGAAUUUCAUAACAUUAAAUAUGUUUACUUUGUAUGGAUGCAUUCGAUGGUUAUACUUUGUUUUAAUUUGAGCUUCCAUGCAGGUGGCUGUGGAGAAGGAUGCAAGGAGUGAUAUUGCUGAGAUUGACGCGAAGAAGUUAGUUGCCAAUUCAAUUCCCUUGUACUUUAAGUAUAUCUUGAUUUGAUUUAUUGUUAUCAUACCAUGGAAUAGAAAUGUUCUCUUUUUGUUUGUGCUUUGGACAUAUAUAUAUAUAUAUAUGUUUAUAAAUUGUUCAGGAAAAACAGAAGAUGUAUGUAUUCUGUUGUGUUUUUGUUGUUGCAAAUAAAGUUGUGCAUGCAAUUUAUGCUUAUAUAGAUUAUAGAUACGAUGUCUUCAUGUGUUAAAUUUGUGCAUUUAGACGUACUUACUUUAUUACUACAAAGUCAAACUCUAAGUUCAAUUUGUGUUGGUAAUUAACUUUAUCUCAAUUGAAGAUUUUGUUUAUCUGACCGCAGGUACCUUCUCCCCAAGGAUGCACUUCUUGGAGAUUUUAUUGCUUAUGUUCGGAUGUGGAUCUUUCUAAAGAAAAGAAAACCUAUAUUUGUCUUCUUCAAAAACACUGUACCUCCCACAGGUGAGAUCAACUCCUUUUUUAAAAUAGGCAUAUAUAUAUAUAUAUAAUAAUAGUAUCUUCGUUUCCAACUCUCCUUUGUCUUUCAAUGAAUGUUACAGGUGCCUCUAUGGGUGCAGUUGAUGAGGAAAAUAAGGAUGAUGAUGGAUUUCUUCACAUGACCUACAGUGGGAAUGAUACCUUCAGCUACAGUGGGAAUGUUGUGACCUGUUGAUUAUUUAUAGUUUAUCCUCUUUAUCUUAAGAUCAAUGGGCUAGUUUAUUAUGGUGCUAUAAGUGUUUAUUUUUUGAUAUCUCAAGGGAUUUUCAUGUAUGGAGUUAAAAUAUUUUAAUGAUUUGCUAGUGAUCUUUAUGUGUAUUGAUGUUGGAUGAGGGAAUUCCAAUGUCAUUUGGUUGCCAUGGUUGCCUUUCAGUUAAAAGCUUUAUCGGGUUUUGCAUUUGAUCAAUCUCCAACAACCCAAGAACCGAACCAUAUACUAUGUAAGAAAUAAAUAAAUAGAAACGUUGAUAUAGAUCCUAGUUCUCAUUGAAGAGUUGGGUUUGAUUCUUAGAUUGUGUUAUUUAUAUAAGUCCUUUGACUUUUGUUCUAUAUACGAUUAUAUUUAUUUUUAAAUAUUUUCUUACGUAUUCUUUUUAUUCAUUUAUUUUUUAACAUUUGUUCUAUAUAUGAUUACAUUUAUUUUUGAAUAUUUUCUGAUGUAUUCUUUUUAUUUUUUUAUUUUUAAAAUUAUUUUUGUUUCAAUUGCCUCUUAUAACUUGAAUAAGAUAAUAGUCAUUUAUGUCAUAAUAAUUAGCUAUUUACAAUGUUUGUCAUAGAAUAGAAAAAAAUAUAUAGCAAACAUAUCCCACAAAUCACAUUUUUACGUACAGUCAUGCAACUUCGAACUCUAAAUGUUUUGACAAAGAAAAAAAUGAAUUUGUUUAUGGUGUAGGUAUAUUGUCUUAUUGCCUAUUGAAUAGGUACCUAUGUGAUUUUUUUUUCCUUCAUAUUUUCGAUAAUAUGUAAUUUAUGUUCUAAAUUUUUAUAGGUUACAUAAAAUUUUAUUUGUCUAUUUGCCUAUUUUUGGCGUAUGCUGUUUUCCAUAGCAUGUUUUAUGAGCUAGAUAUAUACAUUAUUUGGGUUUUCCCAAUUUCUUUGCAAAUUGCAAACAAAAGUCGUCCCACCAACUGAUAACUAAAGCUAGCUACACUCGUCGCAUUGUUGGAUUUUAUCUGGGGCGCCAAUAUAGACUUGAGUCAUGACCAUACAAAUUACAAUUAAGAUGCCAAAAUGCCUUACAACUAAAUUCCUUAUACGUACAGUACGUACCAAACUGAAAUGUAUUAUAUAAUAAAAGAAAUGUAAUUUGUUUUUAUCUCCUUUUAAAAUAUAAGGAAGCUUGGUACAAAAUAUCAGACACCGGCUGCAAUGGGAUGAUAUAUCUUUCAAAUUAGAUAAAAGAAUAUAUAUUUUGAGCUGAUAAUUGGUUCUAGAAGCGUUUAGAAAUUAGAAUAGGACUUCUAAUAUCAAUAGGUUCCAUUGCAAGUGUCUUAUCUAAGACCCUAUCUCUUAACCGUUAGAUAAAAUUAGUUCAUUAUUAAGAUACAACUAAAAAAGAAAUUCAUCCAAAUUCCUGCCAUCUAUAUGUGCGCGAGUUGGAAGCAUGAAAAAUAAAAAGGAAGAGGCUGAAUCCUUGUGAUAUAUUAUAUAUGACAAGUAAAUAAUGAGAACUUUAUUAAUUAAGGGAUGACAACGUUGAUGAUUCCUUACAAUAAACAAUUGAUUUGCUAAGCCCAUCGAAUGGUGACGGUUAGCUAGCCCUUAUUCCUUGCACUUGCACAUACACACGUACACUAAUUCAUAGCCUUAUAAAUUAUUUUCAUGUAUAUAGGAUAUAGCUAGCUUUGAGCAAAAUAAAAUAAUAAAAGUAUAGCUACGCAAUUAAUAUUGCAAUAUCCUUAUUCCUUAUCGAUCCAGUAGCAGUGAUCUAUCUGGUGCGUCAUGAUAAUUAGUGUUCAUGCAUAGCUGCACAUUCCUUUCUUUUCGUGCACGUGUUGUUGCAGCUGCCGCAGUUUUCCUUGUCCGACAUCGGAUUCACACAGUUACCUUCGCAGCAAAUCUCUGCGUAAUUGCAUUUCCUCCCACACCUGCCGCAGUUCGCUGUGUCUGUGUUUCUGUCCACGCAUUUCUUGUUGCAGCAAUCCGGCCCUGCGCUGCCCGACGCCUGACAAACCUUAGGGUUUUUGUCGCAAGUCAUGGCAGUCGGCCGGGAGGCAAGGAAGCGGCUUCUUAGAGAAGUGCUUUUUCCAAACUGGUUUUUGGUUUCGUCAUUUGCAUAAGUAUUGUUUUCCUCGUUGAAAAAUGAUUCUUCUUCGUCUGGUAUUGCAGAGAGAGUAGUGAUGGCUGAAGCUAUUAGCAUGGCAAGAAUUAGAAAAACCUUGAAGCGCAGAGGUUUUUCUGCAUCGUGUACCCAACAUAGAAAAAACAACGUUCGACCAGCUUCCUUUCGUUUACCUUGACUAAUUGAGUUCUCCUUUGGAAAGAAACUUCUACAUCCAACCUUUGAACCUCUCCUUUAGGCUUUUAUAUAUUUUAGCAUGGGAAAAGUGUAGUCGUCUAUGUUACGUCUAUGUUAGGAAUUUAUAUUACGUCUAUGUUAAUCAGGAUAGGUGCCGCAAAUCGUGAGGUAGAAGUCUUGUAACUGAGCUGGUCUUUAGUUGGUUUGGGCUUUUCCUCCUUAAACUAACCUUCACAUGGGCUUAUAUUAAGAAAAAUACGAUUUUAAGCAAAGCCCACGCCCAACUAUAAAGAAAAAGAAAUAUUUCAUGCCCAAUGGUCACCCAAAGGAAAUGGAAAUGGGAAGACAAAUGCCGACUCAUCAUUACUUGUUCUCCAAUAUGCUCAUCUCUUCCGCAGCAAGCCACAAAUGACAACAAAUGACAAAGCAGCAGAAGCAGCAUAACAAAAAAAAUAAAAAGAGAAAAGACUGUUGUAAAAGAAUAAACAUGUGGAGCUCACUAACUAUUCAUUACUAUUCAUUUGGAGACUUUUGGUAGAGUUUGUCUGUCACGGGUGAAUAGUGAAUAGUGAUGAAUAGUGAUUAUUUCAGCCUAUAAAUAAGAAGAGAAACGGAAAGAGAAGAGAAGAAAAAAGAAGAGAGAAAGAAAAGAAGAAAAAGAAGAGAGAAAGAAAAGAGGAAAAGAAGAAGAGAGAAAGAGAUAGGAAACGGGGAGAAGAAAAGGAAAGGAGGAAAGAGAGAAGAAAAGGAAAGAAGGAAAGAGAAGAGGAAAGGGAAAGGAGGAAAGAGAGUCAGGCAGAGAAGAGGAAGAGAAGGAAGAAAUAGGGUGAGUGAGCAGAGAGAAAAUUCAGUGAGCCUUACAUAUUGUAAACACUAAAGUUGUAGCCCUAUUAUUUUACAUAGUGGAAAAGUUACUACUGCUGCUCUCCGGGGACGUAGGCAUAGCCGAACCUCGUUAAAUACUGUGUCUCAUCUACUUUACGUGCAGCUCAAUAUUCGCACAUAUUCCAGGUCAUUUUAUAACACGUUAUCAGCAUGCAUCCCGCUCCCUCUACUCAAGUUUCUCCAACUUAUCCUACGAAACACACAACAUCUAUCAUAUGGUAAUGAAUAGUGGCAAUAAUUAUUUGAUUGUUCCAUUUAAUUACUACAAUAGGCAUUAAUAUAACUUAUUUUUGCCGCUUCAUCAUUAAUUGGCCUAGGAGUAGGGCCCUUCUUACUGUAAGCAAGCCUGAAAAUUAUGCAGAUUGAAUAUCAUCGACAAACAAAUACCAUUGCCUUUGAACCAAAUAUUAUAUAUGAAGAUACUAGUUAAGGACUUAAUAUUAAUUGCACACUAAAAACAAAAAAUUCUAAAAAGCACAGGUUGAAGCAAUGACACUCUCAACCAAAAAACAAAGUAAACAUCACUUCCCCAACGAAGCUUGGUUAAAGACCAAAUAACAUACUAGCUAAAAGACAUGCAUACUUUGAAGCAGUCAAAAUUAUUCAUGCACCAAAUUUAAAACAACCUGAAAAUAAAAAACGAGAAGCCACUACCCAAGUAUCGGAAAUUUGUAUAACUAACAAGCAAAAUAGCAAAAGCAUUGUGUGUUACUUGCAAUUUUCUUAUAAAGCCUCUGAAACAGCAGGAGUGUAGAUCCCAAGGACAAAGGUAAACAUAUGUUUAUAUUCUUGCAAAAGUUAUUAGGUUGUAAAACAAUCCACCAAAAGAAGAGGAAAUAACCCUUCCUUAAUCUAGUUUAAUACAAAAUCUACACUUAUUAUAUCAGAGAAGCAGAAGCACCAAACAAGAAGCGAUUCAAUUUCUUGUCAUUUUAACAAUCAUUGCUUACUGAUAGUAUGUUCAAAAGGGGAAAUUUUUUAUAUAUAAAGAAAAUAACCAUGAAGUCCCUAAUAAGAGUAAUAUAGGCCGAAGGUUAAAACAUCAACCUCCUCUACAACACCAAGGGAAUUACUAAAUUAGAUACAAAAAUGGUAUCCUCCAAACAUGCUUUACAUAGAGCAGCAGAAAACCUAGGAGAAACACGUUUGGAAAAGACAAAUAUUGAGCCAAAACAUAAGAUUUUACCUUGACUGAGUUAUGGUCAAUCUUUAGAGGCUUUGUAUGAACUGCAACUUAAUCAAUUGAAACACAUUUUUACAAAUAACGAAGGGGGAAAAAUCAGACAUGAGAAUUCAUGAACAAAAGGGCAACUCUAAUAACCACCACACUAAGCAAAUGAUACACAAAAUGUGAUAAUUAUAAAAUGAAUGUGAUAAUUAUAAAAUGCAGGUCAACAUCCAUACCAGCAACUAAUUUGUCAAAGUCAUCAUGAUAUGGUGAUAAGAUAUAUAUAUAUAUAUAUAUAUAUAUAUAUAUCUAGUACAAGUUUAGACUAGCAAAAAGAAUUAAUGCAAUCAGUGAUACAUAAACAAAUUAAACAACAAGUAGAGGGGGGGGGGGGGGGGGGGAUUUGGACUUGUACUGAUUCAGGUUGAUGAAUCAGACAUCUUCUGUUUCUUAAAACUACCAAUAUAUCUAUCCACUAAAAGUGGAAGAGACAAGACAACUGCCUCACUCUCUUAUACUCAAACCUUACAGAUGGUCUCAAAAUUGCAUACUGCUUAUAAAACAUCGACAACUAGGGAUGAGAUUAUAUUGAUAAAACUACAAAAACGUUCUCAAAACAUCAAGGAUCCAGUUCAACAGCUGCAAAUAUCAAGUCUAAUUGUACAAAACAAGAAGAGCCACGAGAUUCACAAUUUGUAAUGAAUGAAAGCAAACCAAGAGCAACGCACUAAGUACCUAUUUUAAGCAUAUCCAUGGAGCUAUUAUGUAAUAUACGCACUAGUUACUUGGCAUCAACCACUACACGGGCAAUAGAAUCCCCUGAUAACCUAAAUUGUAAACCAAAAUUUCAAGCUAGCUAGUAAUUAAAACAAUGAUGACAAAAUUACUUGGGUAAAUUUUAAGUGCAUAUGUAAAACAAUGAUGCCUAGCUACGACUACUCUGGUUGGGUUAGCGUUGCCUCCAACCGCGUCACAUCUUCCACUCGUCAUAUCUAUUUUUUGUAUAGUUUUCAACAUUUUAUAGGGACUGUUUCUAUUAUCAGUCUCUAAUAAAAGGUCCCUAUAUAAAAUUUUUCUAGUAGUGACGUAAAGCAAAUUAACAUGCUUUACCAACAAAGCAGCGCAGGACCUGCACUUGAAGUUAAAGCAGGAACCAUGGAUCCAUCUAGGACCUUAAACGACUGAGUUUUAGAGUAGAGUGGGUAACAGCUUCCAUAUCCAGAUUGAACAAAAAAAGCACCAUUUUUGAACACAUCCCUUGAAGAUCUCCAUUUCCAAUUAUUCCAACGUCCUCCAGACUCUCUCUUUGUAGUCUGUUUUGCGUAAGCAGUUUCAGGCGCUAUGAAGUAGUUCCCAUCACUGAAAAUGGUCGGGUUAGCGUUGGCUCCAACCGCGUCACAUCUUCCACUCGUCAUAUCUAUUUUUUGUAUAGUUUUCACCUCUCCUGUUAUAAGAGCUUUUCACCUCUCUUUUGUAAGAACUUUUUAUGAUCUUGCGUGAUCAUUAAUGGCGGCACACCUUGUUGUCUUAAUUUUGAUGUUAGAUCACUUCGUUAUUGUAAUGGCCUUUUGUAGUUAAUGACUUUUUUUAACUAAAUUAUGAAUGCAAUCCCAUAAUUUAUCCCCAAAAAAAAAAAAAAGGAGAUACUUCAUGGAAAACCAUUACAUGGCGUUGUUUAACACAAAAACAAACUUUAACCAAAAUAAAAUUACCAAAUAAGGCAGGAAGUGGGUGUAGAGGUUCUCAGGCUCACAUUAGUUAGCAAUUGGCCUCAUUCUUGGAGAUUACGCAAUUGUAUCCAAUGAAGCAAUUGAAAAAGACAAAUUAUGUUUUCUCUUAUUAUGUUGAAGUUAAAUAUAUUCUCUUAUUAUGUUUCCUUAUUGGGUUUAAAAUCUUACCAAAUUAGUUGGGGCGCAAAAUCAUAGCCAAAGCCAUAGUGCGGGCUCACAUCUUUCAUGUUCAACCAACUUGGAGUAUUUUCAGAAUUCUCAGGCCCAAGAAGGCUUUUUAUUAUAUAUAUAAUAUACUUUUAUAACAAUGAGUCCAAGACCAGGUUUUGAUAGCUGAACAGACUCUAGUGUCUCGAAUCAAACUAACUUAACAUCGAGUAGCCUACAAAAUUUCUUAAUAGUUAGUCAUACGAUGCGUUGCGUGCGGGUCUAUAUUGAUUUAGCGUGCUUAGUUGGAUUUAUCCUGUUGUUAACCUCGACCACACAUAUGGAUGGGCAUUGGGAGCGGAAAAUCGGAACACCAAACCAAAUCUAAUGAAAAAAAGGAAAAAAACUUAUUGACCAAAAAAUUUAACAAACUGAGACCAAACCGAAUCAGAUCAAACUGAUUUUAAUUUCGAUUCAAUACCGCACCAAACCAAACCGGUUGUGUAUAAUUUUUUUUUUUUUUUUACAAAAUUAUUUAAAUCCAAUGCUCCAUUUUUAAUUUUAGAACUAAUAUUUUUCCAAGUGCAACUUCAAAGCAUCUCUCUUUGUAUGAAUUGGAUCAUUUGUUAAUUUUCAAGCUAAAAAAUAAUUUUUUUUUGUUAGCAUUAAUAAAAAUAAUAAUACGGUUCAAAACCAGAAUCGAUGAGAACCAAACAAGCCAAUUUUUUUUAAAAUUUCAUUAAUAUCGAAUAGAACAGAACCAGUUAAAUAGUACCAAUUUUAAUUUGAGAUGAGAAUCGGACCGUGCCCGCCCUUACCCACACAUGCUGGCAAUGGCAUGCAUGAUAGUUUUCAUUUCAAAACCCUUAGAGGUCAUUUGUGGUCCGAAAAUGAAAAUCAUAAUUGCAAAAGUAUUUCAAAGAACCAAGAUUUUUCAUCCCAAAUUCCUUGGACAAAUAGUCAUGUAAGCUUUUCAUUCUUUUGGAUAAUUUCCUAUCACAAAUAGUCUUGUAAUGCUUUUUGUUCUUCUAAAACAUUUAAAAUAAGAGAAAUGUCCUUUUUUAAUAAGGGAAUUUUCCUUAAUAAAUGUAAAUAUUAAGAAUUAAAAUAAUUAAUCAACUAUAAAUAAUAAGGUAAAUUUAUACUUUUUAUUUAAAAAAUAAAAACAAAAUCAGAUAAUGGUCAUAUUUUUACCAAGGGACUAGUUAUAUAUAAUCAUCCAAAACAAAACAAAAAUUAAAAUUAAAAUUAAAAAUAGGGGUCCAAGAAAUAGGGAGAUUCACUAUUAUACCCAAUAUAUGGCCUAAAUUAUAAAAAUACCCUAUAUAAAAUGGACUUUAGAAACACACCCAAAACUCAUUUACAACAUAACAAAGAGGCUUUUAACUUCUUAUAAAUUACAAACUGUCAUCAAUUUCUUAAAACAAGCUCAACUCCAAAAUCUCAUAAAAAUACUCAAAACACUCAAUAUGACAUCAAAGUAAUUUAAUAAUCAAUACUAGCCUCUCUGCACGCGCUUCCGCGCAUGCGAGAGGUUUUUUUUAAAAAAAUUUUAAAUUUAUUUUAGAAUUAAAAAAGAUAAUGGAUAUUUGUGUUCCAUAAAAAUAGGAUCCAUUAUCUGAAUUUUCUUUUAAUUUUAAUUUUUUUAAUACGAAAAAUUGUGAAUUUACCAUAUUAUCCUCAUUUAAUUAAUAAUUUCAAUUCUUAAUGUUUGCAUUAACCAAGGGCAUUUUCUGGUAUUUUGAAUGUUUCACCAUUCUCUACCUUUUGCUUUAUAUAUAUAGAUUAAAUUCAAUAAGGCAAGUUGUCAUUUUUUAGGUUUUUUUCCGGUUUAUUUAUAGAAAUUCAAUAAUAUAGGAUUUAUCUAUAAUAUUAGUGCUAAGAAUGGGUAUACCGCUAAAUACCUCCAAGAAAUAUUGUGAUAUAGGCCUCGGGUCGUAGUCCAGGUCAUGGAACGGAGCCCAGAGAAAGUAAGUAUAAAACACGCCGAAGAAAACCUAGAUGACCUUUGGCGUUGGAAGCUUGCAAAUUGCAAUCGGAAAGAACCUCAACAGGUCUGUUCCCCAAUGUGAAACCCUUAAAUUUAUGUAUCGUAUGUAUAUUUUAUGAUUCUUUGCCUUCAAUAAUUUUCUCCCCUUCAGUUGAUUUUUACCCUCUGUUCUUUAAUAUUCUGAACCAAUCUAUUCAUCAAUUCCCCAAACCCUAAUCGAUCCUUUGCAUGUUAACUUUCCGUAAAAACCAUCCAAGUCACAAUGCAUGUCUUGAUCUACUGGUGUUCAAUGUUGUUUUGUUGUUCCUAAUUUGCAGAGAUCAGUCGUAGUGGGAGUUUCGCCAUGGCCGAAAGCUCUUGCAAGCUUGAAAAUCAUCUGGGUUCGUUUUCUUGUCUUUUUGUUUUUUGGGUUAAUGAUAUAGGUUUUGCAAUACCCGUAUGCCGAUAUCAUGUUUGGCCUUUUCAUCUGUUUUCUUCUUUUGGUUUUUGAUAUUUUAGAAACGAUGCGAGCAGAAGAGAACAUUUCAGAUCCAGCCCCAGUAAGAAUUUUACUGAAUCUUAUUUGUUUACUUCCUUCCUAGGCAGGCAUUCAGAGGAAUUUUAUGUUCUAAUUUGAGUAUUUAUGCAGAUGGUUGUGAAGAAUGCUGCCGCUGCGGCUUCCCUAAGUGUCAGUCCUGACAUUAAUAAGAUGAAGAAGAAGAAGAAGAGGUUUGCUACCAAUUCCUUUAAUUCUUUUGAUUCGUAUUGCCACAAUAGUGGAACAAGAAUAAUGUUUGCCUUUUCAUUUAUUUAUUUUUUAUGUUCAGGAAACCGACAGUAGUAAUAUCUCCGGUUAGAGCUUUUCUUUUAGACACUUGGAAUAUGAGGCACGUGUGGAAGAAUGCGGUGAGAAUUUCAUUGACUUAAUUUGUUUUACUGCCUAUGGCUAUGUCAUUCAGUGGAAAUAUAUACUCUGUUCUAACUUGAGCCUCAUGCAUCUGAUUGUGCAGAAUGGUACAAGUAGUACUGAAAAACAUAUAGACCCUUGGCUUUUGAGGGAGACGGACCCAGAUUGGGUACCAGUAAGAAUUUCAUAACAUUAAAUAUGUUUACUUUGUAUGGAUGCAUUCGAUGGUUAUACUUUGUUUUAAUUUGAGCUUCCAUGCAGGUGGCUGUGGAGAAGGAUGCAAGGAGUGAUAUUGCUGAGAUUGACGUGAAGAAGUUAGUUGCCAAUUCAAUUCCCUUGUACUUUAAGUAUAUCUUGAUUUGAUUUAUUGCUAUCAUACCAUGGAAUAGAAAUGUUCUCUUUUUGUUUGUGAUUUUGAUAUAUAUAUAUAUAUAUAUAUAUAUAUGUAUGUUCAGAAAUCGUUCAGGAGAAACAGAAGCUGAAUAUAUGUGUUUUUGUUACAAAUAAAGUUGUGCAUUUUAAAGUGUACAUGCGGUUUAUGCUUAUAUAGAUUAUAGAUAUGAUGUAUUCACCUGUUCAUUUUGUGCAUUUAGAUGUACUUGCGUUAUUACUACAAAGUCAAACUCCAAGUUCAAUAUGUGUUGGUAAUUAACGUUAUCUCAAUUGAAGAUUUUGUUUCUCUGACCGCAGGUACCUUGUCCCUAAGGAUGCACUUCUUGGAGAUUUUAUUGCUUAUGUUCGGAUGUGGAUCUUUCUAAAGAAAAGAAAACCUAUAUUUGUCUUCUUCAAAAACACUGUACCUCCAAAGGGUGAGAUGCGCAUGCAACUCCUUUUUUAAAAUAGGCAUAUAUAUAAUAAUAGUAUCUUCGUUCCCAACUCUCCUUUGUCUUUCAAUGAAUGUUACAGGUGCCACUUUGGGUGCAAUUGAUGAGGAAAAUAAGGAUGAUGAUGGAUUUCUUCACAUGACCUACAGUGGGAAUGAUACCUUCAGCUACAGUGGGAAUGUUGUGACCUGUUGAUUAUUUAUAGUUUAUCCUCUUUAUCUUAAGAUCAAUGGGCUAGUUUAUUAUGGUGCUAUAAGUGUUUAUGUUUUGAUAUCGCAAGGGAUUUUCGUGUUAAAAUAUUUUAAUGAUUUGCUAGUGAUCUUUAUGUGGAUUGAU
rnacentral:lncRNA from 1 species